rnacentral:rRNA from 1 species
UACGUAGGGGGCAAGCGUUGUCCGGAAUCAUUGGGCGUAAAGAGCGUGUAGGCGGCCAGAUAAGUCCGCUGUGAAAACUCGAGGCUCAACUUCGAGCUGUCGGCGGAAACUAUCUGGCUAGAGUCCGGAAGAGGAGAGUGGAAUUCCUGGUGUAGCGGUGAAAUGCGCAGAUAUCAGGAAGAACACCCGUGGCGAAGGCGGCUCUCUGGGACGGUACUGACGCUGAGGCGCGAAAGCUAGGGGAGCAAACGGG